CUUCUUUAGUUUGAAAAGAUCCUUUAUCAUCCUAGUUAAAAAUAAAUUUAUUAUAUAAAAAUUUUUAAUAUAUAAUUUUUAUCUAAAAAAUUUUUAAAAUAAAAAAAUUAUACUUUUUAUUGAUGCAUAAAAAAAUAUUUUAUAUAAUAGGUCGGAGGAAUGGAGUUGCAUGCAAAGAUGGCAACUUAUGGCUCGUUCC
rnacentral:lncRNA from 1 species